GCAACUCUCCAGUGUGUGUUUGUGUUUGCGCUCUGGAGAGCGUCGAAAGUCCCUAGUUCGUGUUUUUGUAGCGUUGAGCACAGUGUAGCCAAUCACAGACAUAUCUGUUGUUUUCUCAAACACCUCCGAUUGUUACUGUCCACUGAAUUACAUUAAAACAGAACAGAGCGCCCCCUGGGGGAACAUAUCCGCACUGCUCUUAGUGGAAGACCAACACGACGACUCAUAUUUGCGGGUUCUGUUUGCGUCCUGGGUGCGUAAAAGACUUUCUGAACAAAAUACUGUAUAAAAGUGCAUUAACGUGUCCUUUGUAUAGACUAACAAAAAAUGUCUUUACGAUGCUUGACGUUGGUCGCACUCUGCGUUGUGUGUUCAUCUCCACAGAAGCUGUUUUAGGGGAAGAAGUGAAAAAUGUAGUUGGUGUAGUCGGUGGUACAGUGUCUUUUCAUCCAACCAAAGUAAAUCUUCCUGUCACCAGCAUCACAUGGAAACAUGUUAGUCUUUCUACUGUCAAUGCGAUUGAAUGGGACGUUGAUGAUGGUGUUAUCAUCCCGAAUCAGAGAUUCAAAGACAUCACAACUCUUGAUGAGAAAAUUGGACAAAUCACUAUAACUAAUUUAAAAGUCGAGCAUAGUGGAGAGUAUACCAUUGACAUCAACAGUAAACAGCAGGGACAAAGAUUCAGCUUGGAAGUUAUGGAGCGGGUCCCCAAACCUAAGAUAACUGUAGAGGAGAGCAGUAACCCUGAUGUUGUGUAUUUAAUAUGUGAGUACAGUGGAACGAUCAUCUGGAAGAAUUCUGCUGGAGAAACACUGGAGGGCAAUAAGAACCAUAAGCCAGGAGAGUUUAUCACAGUCAAAAACACAAGAAAUCCAGAAAACUACUACACCUGCACACUAGAGAACGCAGUGAAGAUGUGAAGAGAGCAGUGGGUGGGACAGUUUCCUUUAGUCCAGACACAUUAGAAUCUCCUGUCACCAGCAUCACAUGGAAACAUGGGAAGAAGUGAAAAAUGUAGUUGGUGUAGUCGGUGGUACAGUGUCUUUUCAUCCAACCAAAGUAAAUCUUCCUGUCUUCAGCAUCACAUGGAAACAUGUUAGUCUUUCUACUGUCAAUGCGAUUGAAUGGGACGUUGAUGAUGGUGUUAUCAUCCCGAAUCAGAGAUUCAAAGACAUCACAACUCUUGAUGAGAAAAUUGGACAAAUCACUAUAACUAAUUUAAAAGUCGAGCAUAGUGGAGAUUAUACCAUUGACAUCAACAGUAAAGAGCAGGGACAAAGAUUCAGCUUGGAAGUUAUGGAGCGGGUCCCCAAACCUAAGAUAACUGUAGAGGAGAGCAGUAACCCUGAUGUUGUGUAUUUAAUAUGUGAGUACAGUGGAACGAUCAUCUGGAAGAAUUCUGCUGGAGAAACACUGGAGGGCAAUAAGAACCAUAAGCCAGGAGAGUUUAUCACAGUCAAAAACACAAGAAAUCCAGAAAACUACUACACCUGCACACUAGAGAACGCAGUGAGUGAGGAGACCAGUGAACCGGUCUAUGAGAGAGAUCUGUUUAAAGAGUAGACUGCCUUUACUAGUACAAUAUUAUUAAUCAGAGAGGAAAUGUUUAACAUAUACAGUAAAUUGAUGUGGUUAUUAUCACAAUUUUCCUGAUUAUAAUUCCCUGUCAUGAGACUAUACUGUUUUAUCUUUUAAAACAUUUGAAAUGUGUCCUUCGAAAAAUGAGAUAAGGUCAAAGAUGCUGACAGACUCUUGGAGUUUGAAUGAAUGCACAAACUUAGAAUUUUUUUAUUUUAUUUUUUUUUAACUUGUUGCAGGACGUUCCCUAUGUGGUUUACUAUGAGGAAUAAACAUAAACAUAACAGAGAAUGAAUAUUUCUCAAGAUGGGUUUCUCUUUAAAAGUCGAUUUCCGUUUAGACUCUAAACUUACAUCACCGCUCUGAUUAUUUUGCAUGUCUCUCUUACUUAACACACCUGCUUCAGAUCAUCAGCUCGUUAGAAGAGAAGAGAGCUCCAUGCAUGAUGUGUUCUGAUUGACGGGUCCCUACACAGGGUUCAUUGCUACCUCCUGAGCGCGGGAAAUCAGUUGAAGUUUACUUCACUUCGGGACAUUCAUUCACAGAUUUGCACAACACCACUGCCUGCAGUGUCUUCACACACAGACGAAACUUAUUAGAUAAGUGCAGAGGUGGACAAUAACACAGUACAUUCACUUGAGUAUUGUACUUAAGUACACUUUUUGAGUAUCUGUACUUUACAUGAGUAUUAUUUUUCUGGAAACUUACAGUACGACUUUAACUUCACUACAUUUGAAAGACAAAUAUCGUACUUUUCACUUCACUACAUUUCUAUCGAGAAGUAGAAAGACGUUACAUUGUAGCAGCUUUGAAAGUCAGUGAGUGAUUUUUUUUAUACAGCCUAUCAGUUAUCGCUCUUGUAAGGUUACGUGAAGUGAUUUCCGAGCAUUUUAUGAACACUGAGUUGCAAAUGUGAUAUUUAUUUACAACAAUUUGAUAAUAAGUUAAUAUUGUGUUAUAUAUUAGGCACAAUAUUGCCUGAUUUUGCAAAAUUGUGUUAAUGAAAAUAUUACCUAUAAAGCCACAGUUGUGUGUCUCCUUACAAAAAACAAUAAGUUGCUUCAGAGGCAUAAGGUAUUGCUAGUAUCACAUACAACAAUAAUAAAACAGUGCAUUGACAUAAAAAAGGAAAUUUUAUUUUGCUACUUAAGUACGUUUAAAAUCAAUUACUUCUGUACUUUUACUUAAGUAAAAAUCAGUCUUUACAACUUUCACUUGUAAUGGAGUAAUAUUUGACCAGCAAUAUCUAUACUUUCACUCAAGUAAUGAAAUUGUGUACUUUGUCCACCUUUACAUAAGUGUGAAGUGUGACAUAAUAUAACUCUGUAAAAACAAUUUAAAUUCACGUCUCACACACUUUAAUGCUCUUUGAAUGGAACAUAUACUCUCCCUUCGAAGUGGAAUAUGUGAAUAUCCAGAAUAUCCUGUGAAGUCCAUUUUGCAGGGAACUUACAGUCGAAUAGAACAAACAUCUGAAGUGAUGAGAGAGAUAUACAUAAUGUGCAGAGCGGGGGGUCGCGAAGACUGAAAUUGAG